UCAAACUUAAGGUGAUUCUUCUUUCACCGUUUAUUAUCCAAAUUGUUUCUCAAUCUCUAAAACCCUUGUUUUACUUCCAGCUCCUAUCAUCUUCGAGCAAAGCAACAACAACCAACAAAAUUUCUGCAGCAUGAAAGGAACCCCUGCUGACUGUACAUCUUUGGGAAUUUCCAAAGCUCUCUUCACCUCAAUACCUGAUCUGGUAAUUAGUGGCAUUAACAAGGGUUUCAUCGAUGACAAGCUGCACCCCGGGUUGAAGCCCCAGCCUGUGGCUGUUAAGUUCCUCAAUAUGGAUGGAUUACAGGGGAAUCGCUGAAGGUGAUUUUUCUUGGUCAAUUAAGACAUGUACAUUUGGUGAAGUUGAUCGGAUACUGUUGCGAGAAAGAACAUAAGCUUUUGAUGUAUGAGUACAUACUAAGAGGCAGCCUUGAAAACCAGCCUUUUAGAAGUUCAAUUUAUUUUGAUUUAGACCAAUUGUUAGGUGACAACUGCCAAAGAAUUUGAUUUAGACCAAUUGUUACACUGUCUCUGUUAAUCUUUUAGUAUAACCCUUCUUGAUUUUAGUAUUUCUUCUAAUU